AACGCUCUCUCAUGUAGUGUGCCCGUCGCAAAACCAACAGACGUGGUGCACGAAACUGGAGAGCAAGAAAG
rnacentral:snoRNA from 1 species